ACCUGUACGAUAGCUCAGUCAGUAGAGUAUGAGGCUCUUAAUCUCAGGGUUGUGGGUUUGAUCACUACGUUGGGCA